UACGGAGGGUGCGAGCGUUGUCCGGAAUCACUGGGCGUAAAGGGCGCGUAGGCGGUUCUUCAAGCGUGUGGUGAAAGUCCGGGGCUCAACCCCGGAUCGGCCGUGCGAACUGGGGGACUCGAGCACUGUAGAGGCGGGUGGAAUUCCGGGUGUAGCGGUGGAAUGCGUAGAGAUCCGGAAGAACACCAGUGGCGAAGGCGGCCCGCUGGGCAGUGGCUGACGCUGAGGCGCGACAGCGUGGGGAGCAAACAGG
rnacentral:rRNA from 1 species